UACUUUCACCCAACACUUUUGGCGACAUGCAAUAAUUUAUGAACUUCCCUCCGUCGAGACUGCCGCUAACCCACUUUCAUGAUAGCAAUAACACCAAGAACUUACAUUUAUUUGCUUUUAUUUCUUGCAUACCAAAUAUCACAGAUGUAGCAUAGAUUAAUAUAACUUGUGCAACCCUGAUGAUUGCAAGUCGAUCUGUGCUUAACAUGUUCACACUAUAGUGAAAGCAAAUGGGCGAGUCCGUUGUGGUGCUGGCUCCUAUGGGUCCUUUCCUCUCCUCUGCUCUGCCACACAGUCCCAACACCUAUCUCUUCCUCUCAUAUGUCAACUAUAGGUAACAUAUGAAAGGAAAAAAUAGGUGUUGGGACUGGUGGCAGAGGAGAGAGUAGGAAAGGACCCGCGAGAGCCAACGCCAAAACAGACUCGCUAAUUUGGUUUCAUUAUAACUGGUCACUGGCGAAGAAUAUACUUGCGUAACUUUCGUCUUCGUCUUUUAGUUUAAUGUCCAUAUUUUCUCUCAUGGGGCUGGACGAGCUUUGGUCCAUAUUACUUAACCCAGUAGCAGCGACGGGCCAAAUUUGUGGCUUUACCGUGCAGCAGCGAUGGGCCAAAUUUGUGGCUUUACCGUGAAGCAGCGACGGGCCAAAUUUGUGGCUUUACCGUGAAGCAGCGAUGGGCCAAAUUUGUGGCUUUACCGUGAAGUAGCGAUGGGCCAAAUUUGUGGCUUUACCGUGAAGCAGCGAUGGGCCAAAUUUGUGGCUUUACCGUGAAGCAGCGAUGGGCCAAAUUUGUGGCUUUACCGUGAAGCAGCUACGGUCCAAAUUUGUUGCUUUACCGUGAAGUAGCGAUGGGCCAAAUUUGUGGCUUUACCGUGAAGCAGCGACGGGCCAAAUUUGUGGCUUUACCGUGAAGCAGCGACGGGCCAAAUUUGUGCCGUGAAAUAAACCCCCCAAAAUAGAUGAUACAUAAUCUGAUCACAAAUGCUUUGAUAUAUAUUAGGAAAUGGUUUGUGUGAGGGGUGAUUUUUUCUCAUUUUUCUCGCUUGGAGGGACCAUUAAGAAACAUGAUCUCCGCUGCUACUGGGUUAAUUAAAACGUAUCAGGCUUCAAUUACAGCUAUUUUCCAAGGCCGCAGAGAAGAUUAGCCGGGUUUUCAUGGGUGAUUUUCCUGUUCAAGGCACAGAAGUCGCGUAAAACUAUCACUGGCAUCACAAAAUAGUCCAUGAAAAUCCCGGCAACUUCUACAAGUGGCUUUUCAAAUUGACGUAUUAAGGACCGAUACGUUUAUGAAUGCGGACACAUGAAUUUCUCCGACUCUUGACAAACAUGUACUUUUAACCUCUGGCACACAUUAUUGCUGUACUUCAACUCCCUAGACACAUAUAAGACUUGGAUUUAUCUUAUUCUACUCCUAUUCACAUUAUAUCUUAUGGUAUUGAUAGGAAAGACUAACCAGACUCAUAAUACAAUCAACCUCCACAUAUCACAUAGUACCAUAGCAUCUUACUAUACUGAAUAUUCUGCCUCUAGGGCGUAUUACUAAACAUUUCGCAGCUCAAGAACACACAUUUGACAAGGCUUUCGUAGGCGUUUUGGGCAUUUCCAGUAGUAGUUUUAUGAUCCUAGUGGUAGUUUGACCCUUCUUCUGCACCAAGAACCUAAAGAAACACAUAUUUGACAAGGCUUUCGAAGGCAUUUUGGGCAUUUCCAGUAGUAGUUUUAUGACCCUGGUGGUAGUUUGACCCUUCUUCUGUACCAAGAACCUAAGGAAACACAUAUUUGACAAGGCUUUUAUAGGCGCUUUGGGCAUUUCCAGUAGUAGUUUUAUGACCCUGGUGGUAGUUUGACCUUUUUUCUGUCCCAAGAACCUAAAGAAACACAUAUUUGACAAGGCUUUUGUAGGCAUUUUGGGCAUUUCCAGUAGUUUUAUGACCCUGGUGGUAGUUUGACCCUUCCUCUGUACUGUGAACCUAAUGAAACACUCAUUACACCCCGACUGAUCCCCUCUUUUUCUGAGUUGAUGUGAGAAGCGAACAUAUCUUAUAAUACCGAUCUCUGUCCUACAUAACAGGGGUGUGUCUUAUGGAUUACUCUAUGCUUAUGAGAGAUGGAAGCUUCGUCGGAGGAUGGCAGCAAAAGGGAAAAAGGAAAAAGAGAAAUAAAAACUGUGAAUCUAGCUAAAUACAUCUUAACUAAGGAAGCCAUUGGAAAAAGGAAAAGAAAAAAACUGUGAAUCUAGCUAAAUACAUCUUAACUAAGGAAGCCAUUGGAAAAAGGAAAAGAAAAAAACUGUGAAUCUAGCUAAAUACAUCUUAACUAAGGAAGCCAUUGGAAAAUUAAUCUAAACAUCGAGUUAUUGAUAGAAAUUGACACUUGGUAGUGGUAGCAAAGGCAGCCUACUACUACUACUACUACUACUACUACAACUAUUACUACUACACUUACUUCUACUACAGGUAUAUUAGUGACAUUAUUACUUUUGAUAAUGUGGAUAUUGCAGGCUUUAUGGCGAUGAUGAUAUGGUAAUAAAGAUAAUGAUUACGAUGACGAUGAUGAUGAAAACAAUGAUGAUGAUAAUGGCAGGUAAGGUAAGGUUGGGGCAUAUGCUAUUAUUAUUAUUAUUACCAUUAUUACGUUUCAAUUCCUCGUCCUUUACAGUGGGGGGAAAAAAAAAAAAGUCAUUUGGGUUUUGUAAUUCCUCGCCACCUUUGUCAAUAGCUGGGUCACUCUUGCUAUUUCUCCUUUAUCAAUUUCCUUUCACUAAUUUCUAUCCCUCUCUGUCUUUAUUUUCAUUCACUGUUUCCUUUAUAACCCACAAAGUCAAUAUUCUCCACUACCAUUUUUUUUAUUCAUUGUUUAUUAUGAUUUUUUUUCUUUGUCAAUUUCCUUUCACUAAUUUCUAUCCCUCUGUCUUUAUUUUCAUUCACUGUUUCCUUUAUAACCCACAAAGUCAAUAUUCUAGACUACCAUUUUUUUAUUCAUUGUUUAUUAUGAUUUUUUUUCUUUGUCAAUUUCCUUUCACUAAUUUCUAUCCCUCUCUGUCUUUAUUUUCAAUCACUGUUUCCUUUAUAAUCCACAAAGUCAAUAUUCUAGACUACCAUUUUUUUUAUUCAUUGUUUAUUAUGAGUUUUUUCUCCUUUCUCAAUUUUCUUUCACUAAUUUCAACCCCUGUCUUUAUUUUCAUUCACUGUUUCCUUUAUAACCAACAACAAAGGCAAUGUUCUCCACUACCAUGAUUUCUAUUCCUCUCUCUCUUUCCUUCACUUUCUCUCUUCCUCCAUCUCAAAGGAAAUAAAUAAAUUCUCCUUUUUCUUUCCUUCAUUUUUCCUCUUCUCUGCUCUCGUUUUCUCUUCCUCGUUCUUUCUCUUUCCUUAACUUUUCCUCUUCUCUGCUCUCAUGAUUUCUCUUCCUCUUCCUUUCUCUUUCCUUCAGUCUUCCUCUUCUCUGCUCUCAUUUUCUCUUCCUCUUCCUUUCUCUUUCCUUCAGUGUUCCUCUUCUCUGCUCUCGUUUUCUCUUCCUCUUUCCUUCAGUCUUCCUCUUCUCUGCUCUCGUUUUCUAUCCCUCUUUCUUUCUCUACUGCCCUACCAUUAAACAUAUACAUCUACGGUACUCAGAGAAAUUGUAUUCAGUACCAGACCUGUUACAUUACACAAGUUGCUUCUUUCACUUACAACUACAAGCUACCACUACAAAAAAAUAUAUAUAUAUCGGUACAUUGUAAAAUCUAAAUACCACCACUUCACAACACUACACCACACCAGGUAACACCCCUACAUACUCAGGGGGGGGCAGGUGUAGUGGGCUAAGGCUGUCCCAGACUGUAUUCUCAAACGUAUUGGCGUCUCGGUUCACAUUUGCAAUGCCCCCUCGUGGAAGUUCGGAUUUUCAUGGAGUGUUCUGUGAAGGUGGUCAUAGUUUUACAUUGGAUUUUCUCAUUUCAAUUCCCUGUUCGUUUAUCUUUUCUUUGUUCAUUCUUUGUAACCUUGAUCUUUGUUUUUGUUCUCUCGUUUUUCAUGGGUUCUGCAUAUUGAAUGUGGAAAAGGCGCCCAUGAAAAUCCGGUUCCCCUUCUCUGUGGUCUUGGGAAAUGGUAAUGAAAGCUCAGUGCCAAUAUGGGCCUGGAUUUUAUGGACUGUUUUGUGAAGGUGAUAAUUUUCUGCAUCUUGACUGGGAAAAAGGCAGCCAUGAAGACCCAGUUACCCUUCUCUGUGGCCUUGGGAAAUGGUAAUGAAGGCCCAGUGCCACUAUGGACCCUGAGCCACUAAAACCAUGUGCUCUAAUGACACCCUGCACCAUCACCAGCACCCAGUUAACCUUCUCUGUGGCCUUGGGAGAUAGGGCCAUAUUUGUAAACACCUUGACACCCAGGCACAUGUAUUUGACAGGGCUUUCAUGGGCGUUCCAGGCAUUUCCAGGGGUAGUUCAAUGACCCUGGUGGUAGUUUGACCCUUCGCCUGCACCAUGAACUUAAAGAAACACUCAUUUGACAAGGCUUUCAUAGGGGUGUGGGACAUUUCCAGGGGUAGUUUAAUGACCCUUCGUCUGCACCAUGAACCUAAAGAAACACUCGUCUGACAAGGCUUUCAUAGGGGUGUGGGACAUUUCCAGGGGUAGUUUAAUGACCCUGGUGGUAGUUUGACCCUUCUUCUGAACCAUGAACCUAAAGAAACACUCAUUUGAUAAGGCUUUCAUAGGGGUGCGAGGCAUUUCCAGGGGUAGUUUAAUGACCCUGGUGGUAGUUUGACCCUUCUUCUGAACCAUGAACCUAAAGAAACAAUCAAUUGACAAGGCUUUCCUUAAGG